UCUCUCUCUCUCUCUCUCUCUCUCUCUCUCUCUCUCUCUCUCUCUCUCUCUCUCUCUCUCUCUCUCUUGCCCUCUCUUACUCUCGCUCUGCUUUCUCUCUCUCUCGCUCUCUCUCCCUCCCUCUGUUAUCGUAUCUCUCUCUCUUGCCCUCUCUUACUCUCGCUCCUUCUCUUUCUCUCACUCUCUCUCGCUCUCUCUCCCUCCCUCUGUUAUCGUAUCUCUCUCGCAUGCCCUCUCUUACUCUCGCUCCUUCUCUCUCUCUUGCCCUCUCUUACUCUCGCUCUGCUUUCUCUCUCUCUCGCUCUCUCUCCCUCCCUCUGUUAUAGUAUCAUACAUAAAUAAUUCCAGGAUACAGAUAUACUAGUGUGAGUGGUGAGUGUGUCCUUCAGAAUGUUACCUGCAAUAAGCACUUCGCCUGUUGCUGUUCUUUCACACUUGCGUUCUUUUUUAUCAUUACUGACUCCAUUGAGACUUCUGUACGUGUGUGGGUUUGUUAUGAUUGCGUUACUUUUCCCUCCUUUUUUUUUCUCGGUCAUUAAUUUGUUUUUGUCUGAUUGUUUUCUCAUUUUCUUUCUUUUUUCCUCAUCGCUAACUUCAUUGAGACUUUUGUAUGUGUGGGUUUUCUAUGAUUUCUUUACUGUUUCCCUCUUUUUUUUUUUUCGAUCAUUUUUGUUUUUGUUUUUGUCUGAUCAUUUUCUCAUUUUCAUUCUUUUUUCCUUGUCGCUAAUUUCAUUGAGACUUUUGUAUGUGUGGGUUUGUUAUGAUUUCUUUCCUUUUCCCUACUUUUUUUUUCUUUCAAUGUCAUUUCUUUAUUUUUGUUUAUUUUCUUGUUUUCUCUUCACAUUUUCAUUCUUUUUUCCUCAUCACUAACUUCAUAGAACUUUUGUAUGUGUUGGUUCAUCUUGAUUUCUUCCCUUUUUCCUUUUUCCUCUCUUCUAUUCAACGUCGUGUUUGCUGUACUUCAUUCAUCUUGUUUUAUUUUCACACUUCCAUUCUUUCUCCAAUUUUUCCCAUUUCUAACUCCAUUUUUUGUGACGUGUGUGUGUUCUUAUCUUUCUUUUUUCCUUUUUUAACUUUUUUCUCAUCAACGUCAUUAAUUCACGUUGUUCCAGUUAUUUUCUUCCAUUUUUUCCUUCACACUUUCAUUCUUCCUUCUAUCACUAAAUUUUUUGAGACGUGUGUGUGUUCAUAUCUUCCUCUUUUACCUUCCUUUUUCUCAUCAAUGCCAUUAAUUUGCGUUGUUCCAGUUAUUUUCUUUCAUUUUUUCCUUCACACUUUCAUUCUUCCUUCUAUCACUAACUCCUUUUUCUGAGACUUAUAUAUUGGUUUGUCAUGAUAGCUUCUCAUUUUCUCAUCAACUUCAUUUAUAUAUAUCCUCCCAUUUUCUUUUCUAGCUAACUUCAUUUCAUGCCCAUCUUUUCCUUCUUCCUUCUUUCACUAACUCCUUUUUCUGAGACUUAUAUAUUGGUUUGUCAUGAUAGCUUCUCAUUUUCUCAUCAACUUCAUUUAUUUCCUCCCAUUUUCUUUUAUAGCUAACUUCAUUUCACACUCAUCUUUUCCUUCUCCGGAUGUUCCUACUGACAUUCCAUAAUUAUCGUCUUGUUUGGAUUGUUUUGGGGGCUUGCGUGUGUCUGUGUUUGUUUGCCUUACUGAGUUAUUGAUCCUGUGUUGCAGCUCAUAGUUUGCUUAAUUCGUGAUCGUGUGUGUUUGUGUACGUGUGUGUGUGUGUGUGUGUUUAUUUAUUUUGCCGUGUAGGGUUGCUUUGUUUGAUUACCGUACGUCGAUUUGUAAGUUCGCUUCUUAUCAUUUUCUUGUGCAGCAGAAUUUGAUCAACCCAAAAUAGACUUGACCUCUGACCCAAACUGACCCCACAAAAGGACAUCUGCCAACUCAGGUGUGAAGGUCUUAAAAAGUUGUUCAGAACCCUUUGCCCUGACGCCCUUCUCGACAGUCAUCCAUACAGAACAGGGUCAGCAUUCUCAGACAAAAGAGAUUAGUUGGGUUUUCAUGACUUGGUUCGUAGUGUAAAAUAGCCUUGACAAACAUUCGCAUACAUGAAACUACAUAUGAAAUACCCACAACCCUUACGAAAGCCUUAGCUGUGGAAUGUUUCAAAAUAUGGCCCUUGAACUGACUGACUGACUAACUGAACCCAACGUUGCCAGAUUGUCGUACUCAGCCACUCGUAUUUCCCGACUUCCUACCCCAAAACUGUCUUCUGGGCCGCUAUAAAGAAACUCAUUUAUAGUUAUCGUUAAAAGAGUUAGAUCCCGACGUCUCUUGGCAAUAGUUAGGCGUCAGAAACCGGUAAAUACUAUGCUCUGAGUACGAUGACCUGGCAACGGUGACUGGACCUACUGACAGACUGGCACGUUAACCCAUUUACCGACACACCCAUCACAAUGCAAAGGUGUAAAACUUGCAUUGCGCUUGAUUUUCACGGCUGGUAACUUGUGUUCUUUCAGCCCACUGCCAGACGAGGGCAUUAAACAGUAGAAAA